CGUCAAGUCCUCAUGGCCUUUAUGCCCCGGGCUACACACGUACUACAAUGGGCGGUACAAAGGGCAGCCAGCUCGCGAGGGUGUGCGAAUCCCAAAAAGCCGUCCUCAGUUCGGAUUGCAGUCUGCAACUCGACUGCAUGAAGGUGGAAUCGCUAGUAAUCACGGAUCAGCAGGCCGUGGUGGAUACGUUCCCGGGCCUU
rnacentral:rRNA from 1 species